rnacentral:pre_miRNA from 10 species
AAUUCUGUCUCUUAGCCUUUCUCUUCCCAGUUUUCCCACAGUUGGGAAAAGCUGGGUUGAGAGGGCAGAAGGAAAAAAAAA